GCUGCAAAGCCAUGGGUGUGGGAGGACAAAUGACAAAGAGUUGUUACAUAGCAAAUGGGGAGCUAAGGUGCUGGGAACUACAUAUUUGUAGAUCAUACAUUUGUAGAUUUUACCAUAACUUUAUAAAUCUUUGUAUUUCACUUUCAUUGUAUGCAGUAAAACAAAAAACUUCAACAACAAACAAAAUAACAUCACUGUUCCCAGGAGAUAACAAAACUAGUUUCUUGCUAAUAGAAAUUAAAAUUAUUAGGAGCUAUGAUUAUAAAUGAAUGAACAAACAACAACAAAAAGUUUUAGUCAGGAUUUUAUUCUCUUGCUUUGUCCAUAUCAAGAGAGAAACACAUAUUCUUCAAGUAAUUCUAUUCUUUACCAUAACGGUCAACUUGAUUAUUUCUCUAUUUUAUUCCCCUUUCAUUGUGACAAGAUUGUACAUUUUAACCCAUUGCAAUUCCUUCCUAUGGAGAAAUAUUCUUUCUUGUCCCAUUUGGUAUUGGACUUGACCAUGUGACUUCGUUUGACCAAUCAUAUUUGAGCAGAUGUAAUAAAUGCCAUUAAAUGUUUGGCUAUGACACUGUUUUCCAUCUACCAUGAGAAUGACAUGUUCCAAGCAGGGGCUGCUUCUCCAGCCUGGGUCUGAGAAUGAGAAGCUGUGUGGAGUAGAGUCACAGCCUACCUGCAGCCUACAUGUAACACAUAUACUAAAUGAAUCUUUAUUUCAUAAGCCAAAGAGACUGGGGGAUCAUUUGUUAUUACAGCAAAGUUGCCUAAUAUGAAAAACAUGGAACCAGGAGUGGAAUGCUGCAUAGCAAAACCCCUAAAAGGUAUAGCAUUAGCUCCUGGCCAGUGUGUAACAAGGAAACUUUAAUUAAAGACAGACAAAAAUGCCAAUCUAUGAUGUGGAGUAGUGAGCAUUUGUUAUAACUGCUGUCCACAAAAAUUUGAAGGCAGAUAAUAUAUUAAUAUACUUGAGAUUUGGGUUAAGAUGUCGUAAAACAGAAUGUCACCAGAGUACCAUGGUUGUUGUUAGAUGCAUUUGACAAGAAACUAUAAAGAAGAGAUGAGCUCAGAAAAGAAUUGACCAAGGAUAAAGAAAAGAAAUGGAAAAUUUGGAAAUGUUGAGACUUCCAGGGUUGAAAACAUGCAACUAUUUUUCUUAUCUAACAGUAGAAGAUAAAAUUCAGAC
rnacentral:lncRNA from 1 species